AUUGAACGCUGGCGGCAUGCUUUACACAUGCAAGUCGAACGGCAGCGCGGACUUCGGUCUGGCGGCGAGUGGCGAACGGGCGAGUAAUAUAUCGGAACGUACCCAAGAGUGGGGGAUAACGUAGCGAAAGUUACGCUAAUACCGCAUACGAUCUAAGGAUGAAAGCAGGGGAUCGCAAGACCUUGUGCUCCUGGAGCGGCCGAUAUCUGAUUAGCUAGUUGGUGAGGUAAAGGCUCACCAAGGCAACGAUCAGUAGCUGGUCUGAGAGGACGACCAGCCACACUGGAACUGAGACACGGUCCAGACUCCUACGGGAGGCAGCAGUGGGGAAUUUUGGACAAUGGGGGCAACCCUGAUCCAGCAAUGCCGCGUGAGUGAAGAAGGUCUUCGGGUUGUAAAGCUCUUUUGUCAGGGAAGAAAAGGUCGUGGCUAAUAUCCACGACUGCUGACGGUACCUGAAGAAUAAGCACCGGCUAACUACGUGCCAGCCGCCGCCGUAAAAC
rnacentral:rRNA from 1 species